rnacentral:lncRNA from 1 species
AACUUUGAAAACCUAAUUUCUAAUUCAUCUAUUCUCUCCCUCUCGGUCUUCUCACUCCCCGCGCCGCCUGACCUCCAUCUCUGCCCUCUGGACUCACUCCCAUCUACUUCUCGGCCUCAGUCACGCCGCCUCACCUCCAUCGCCGGUCGUCUUCUCCGAUUUGCUCGCCUGCCCGCCGCUGGAGUCACGCUGCUUCACUCGAUCCUUGCUUCGCUCGCCCUCCCUGCUUCGCUCGCUCGAUCCCUGCUUCGC